CGAUCCCUAAUGACAGUGGAGCCUUGGAGCACAGACCACCUUUCCAAAUGAGGACAGAUACCCAUAACAAUGAGGCUGCACUGUGGAGCAGGAGUAAGCACUUUUUGGGCACCAGAUUGCUCCCCUCAAGUGUUGGCGGCAGUAACAACUUCUCCAGGACCCUUUAAGAGCAAGGACUGAGACAACAUCCAACCAGAUCAACACCUAAGUGAGUAGUCUGACCUGACAUGUGGAAGCCCAGGAGUUUGGACCUGAGACCAUCACACUGUAAGGAAGUUUAAACUGGCUGUGUCAAGAGGAAGAGAGAUGUCUAGCCAGCGCCCAGGUGUCCUAGCCAUCUGACUGAGGGGCCAGACCUGUGAGUGAAGAAUCUUUCUGUGUAUUCCAGAACUGGGAAACAUUGCAUGUAGCAGCAGCGUUGUCCAUCCAUUCCAGGUAGCAGAGAACAAUUCAUGACAAACAGUUGCCAACUUACAAUAUUCAGCUGAUGAUUUUCCAGGUUUAAAAUGGUGCCAAAGCAAUGCACAUUCAGUGGAAAACACACUUGGCAUUUUGAAUUGGGAUCUUUUCCUGGAAUGUGGAAAAUUAGAGAUCUUCUCUCUAAUGCUAGGCAGCCACAAUGAGCCACAGCUCCUAGUCAGCACCAGGAUCCAGAGGGCAGCAUCUCAUACUCUCCAGUAUGCUGUGUUGCUAGCAUUUAACUGGAAAUUGUUUUGUAUUUUCACAUCCCAUCAUUAAGUUACACAGUAAGUUACACAAAAAGUCAUCACUUUUGCCCAGCACCAGUGGCUAACGCCUGCAAACCUAGGUACUCAGAGAUCAGGAGGAUCCAAGUUUGAGGCCAGCCCAGGCAAAAAGCAAGACCCUAUCUAACAAACACCCAACACACAACAAAAGGAGUAAUUGAAUGGCUCAAGUGGUAAAGCACAUGCCUAGCAAAUGUGAGGCCCUAAGUUCAAAUCCCAGUAACUUCCAAAAAACUCAGUAGUUUAUUCUCUGUUAGUAAUUCCCCAACUGUAGGCAAAUAUGUUUUGAUCAUGUGUAAGGUAGGCUAUGGUGUUUAAAUGCAUUUUUGACUCACAUAUUUUCACCUUGCAUUGGGUUUAUCAAGACAACCCCAUCAUAAAUGAAGAAGCGUCUGUCCUGAAAAGUUAGGUGUGAAGAAGUAAGUGCUCUGCUUCUCAGUGUAUACCCUAGAGAUAUGCUCAAGGAACAGGGGUAAGGAACCCCAAAGUUACUUUGUAAUUUAGGAAAAAGAAAACCAAAAUUCCUGGAAACAGCCAAAAACCCACUGGGACAGUGAUUAGUAAAUUGCAUAUGCAAUGACCUGCCGUGUGCAGUGCUCAUGAACUACUGGCGUGAACAGAAAUGAGUCUUCCCAACAUGAUGUUGAGUGCCAAAAAAGACAAAUCAGAGAAAAACCCCAAAAUACCUUCCUAUAAAGUUCCACCACAAGCAAAACUAAGCAUCAUCAAUACCAACAGAUGUGGGCGCGUACACACACAUGUAUAAAUAUGAAUAGCACAGGAAUCAUAAAAAACUCAGUG